rnacentral:rRNA from 1 species
AGACCCGAAACCCGGUGAUCUAGCCAUGGGCAGGUUGAAGGUUGGGUAACACUAACUGGAGGACCGAACCGACUAAUGUUGAAAAAUUAGCGGAUGACCUGUGGCUGGGGGUGAAAGGCCAAUCAAACCGGGAGAUAGCUGGUUCUCCCCGAAAGCUAUUUAGGUAGCGCCUCGUGAAUUCAUCUCCGGGGGUAGAGCACUGUUUCGGCUAGGGGGCCAUCCCGGCUUACCAACCCGAUGCAAACUGCGAAUACCGGAGAAUGUUAUCACGGGAGACACACGGCGGGUGCUAACGUCCGUCGUGAAGAGGGAAACAACCCAGACCGCCAGCUAAGGUCCCAAAGUCAUGGUUAAGUGGGAAACGAUGUGGGAAGGCCCAGACAGCCAGGAUGUUGGCUUAGAAGCAGCCAUCAUUUAAAGAAAGCGUAAUAGCUCACUGGUCGAGUCGGCCUGCGCGGAAGAUGUAACGGGGCUAAACCAUGCACCGAAGCUGCGGCAGCGAACGUAUCACUUAAAGCGAUUCAGCGGGUUACGAUUGACGGAGCGAAGCGACGUCAAAGCGUAUACAAAGUCGAGUCGGUUUAAGGAUACGUUCGUUGGGUAGGGGAGCGUUCUGUAAGCCUGCGAAGGUGGCCUGUGAGGGUUGCUGGAGGUAUCAGAAGUGCGAAUGCUGACAUAAGUAACGAUAAAGCGGGUGAAAAGCCCGCUCGCCGGAAGACCAAGGGUUCCUGUCCAACG